GUCGUUAGUGGAAGGCCUCUGGAAGGGGUCGCCAUAGAGGGUGAGAGCCCCGUACACGAAAACGCGCACUCUCUCUUGAGCUGCUCCCAAGUAGCACCGAGCUCGUGAAAUUCGGUGUGAAUCUGGCGGGACCACCCGCUAAGCCUAAAUACUCCCUGGUGACCGAUAGCGGACAAGUACCGUGAGGGAAAGGUGAAAAGUACCCCGGGAGGGGAGUGAAAUAGUACCUGAAACCGUGUGCCUACAAUCCGUUGGAGCCUCCCUAGCAGGGGUGACAGCGUGCCUUUUGAAGAAUGAGCCUGCGAGUUAGUGAUGCGUGGCGAGGUUAACCCGUGGUGGGGGAGUCGUAGCGAAAGCGAGUCCGAUAAGGGCGUGAGUCGCGUGUUCUAGACCCGAAGCGGUGUGAUCUAUCCAUGGCCAGGAUGAAGCGUCGGUAAGACGUCGUGGAGGUCCGAACCCACUUCAGUUAAAAAUGGAGGGGAUGAGUUGUGGAUAGGGGUGAAAGGCCAAUCAAACUCCGUGAUAGCUGGUUCUCCCCGAAAUGCAUUUAGGUGCAGCGUC
rnacentral:rRNA from 1 species